rnacentral:rRNA from 1 species
UACGAAGGGGGCUAGCGUUGCUCGGAAUCACUGGGCGUAAAGCGCACGUAGGCGGAUUGUUAAGUCAGGUGUGAAAUCCUGGAGCUCAACUCCAGAACUGCCUUUGAUACUGGCGAUCUUGAGUCCGGGAGAGGUGAGUGGAACUGCGAGUGUAGAGGUGAAAUUCGUAGAUAUUCGCAAGAACACCAGUGGCGAAGGCGGCUCACUGGCCCGGUACUGACGCUGAGGUGCGAAAGCGUGGGGAGCAAACAGG